rnacentral:rRNA from 1 species
AUUGAACGCUGGCGGCAGGCUUAACACAUGCAAGUCGAGCGGGGGAAGGUAGCUUGCUACUGGACCUAGCGGCGGACGGGUGAGUAAUGCUUAGGAAUCUGCCUAUUAGUGGGGGACAACAUCUCGAAAGGGAUGCUAAUACCGCAUACGUCCUACGGGAGAAAGCAGGGGAGCUUCGGACUUUGCGCUAAUAGAUGAGCCUAAGUCGGAUUAGCUAGUUGGUGGGGUAAAGGCCUACCAAGGCGACGAUCUGUAGCGGGUCUGAGAGGAUGAUCCGCCACACUGGGACUGAGACACGGCCCAGACUCCUACGGGAGGCAGCAGUGGGGAAUAUUGGACAAUGGGGGGAACCCUGAUCCAGCCAUGCCGCGUGUGUGAAGAAGGCCUUAUGGUUGUAAAGCACUUUAAGCGAGGAGGAGGCUACUUUAGUUAAUACCUAGAGAUAGUGGACGUUACUCGCAGAAUAAGCACCGGCUAACUCUGUGCCAGCAGCCGCCGUAA